rnacentral:misc_RNA from 1 species
CUAUAAAUACCCUUAUUUACAUGUAAUUUGGGAGACAGAUUCAACAGAGAUUUCUCAGAUUCAACAGAGAUUUCUCUCAUUAUUUUCACUCUUGUGUAUGGAGUGUGUUUCUAUUUUAGUUUCAUGCUGCGUCAGUUGAACAGUGAAAACACAAACGGUUGUCAAAAGAACAAUAAAUAGAAUGCAAGAUUUUUCACUACUCUUCAAGAUGGGAAAAAUAAAAGAUAAAAGUGGACAAAAGGUAGCGUGCGACAAUUUCUUUUGUAGAUUGCAUAUAAUGAAUUCAACCACUUUAAGAUGUGAAGCCCGUUCAUUUUUCCUGCUUUUAACAAAUAAACUCAUUCAAUUUCAUUUGUGUGAAAUGCGAAUCCCAUUUAUUUGUUGAUAGAAAUUUAUUCAGGCAUAUAAAAUGCCAAAAGAAAUAUUGCUUUUUCUUACCAUGGGAGAAUACACGCGAGUUAAAAUGCCCUUCCUCAAGAGUUUCGAUUUUAGGUCUUUAUCACCCCACA